rnacentral:rRNA from 1 species
AAGAGAAACAAACAUGGAUUCCCUUUAGUAGCGGCGAGCGAAACGGGAAAAGCCCAGCGCCGAAUCCCCCGCUCGAAAGGGCGUGGGGAAAUGUGGCGUUUAGGAGUGAGCGUCCCGGUGGUUGACUCUGCAGCAAGUCCCCCUGACCGGGGCUGUUACCCAAAGUGGGUGCGAGGCCCAUAGCUGCUAGGUCUCCUCCGGAUGCGAUCUCCUUGGAGUCGGGUUGCUUGGGAGUGCAACCCUAAUUGGGUGGUAAACUCCACCUAAGGCUAAAUACUGCCGUGAGACCGAUAGCAAACAAGUACCGUGAGGGAAAGUUGCAAAGAACUUUGAAGAGAGAGUUCAAAAGUACGUGAAACUGUUCAGAGGUAAACGGGUGGGCCCUCGAAAUCCUGUGGCGGGAGGAUUCAGUUGGGAGGCUCGGACGUGGCGCUGGAAUAUCACAAGAAGGUUCUCAUGACGGGGCCGUUCCAGUGUCGCGCUUCUGGGCCACCCGACGCAUUUCUUUCCCGCACGAAGGACGCCGCAACCAGUUGGGACGUGGCCUUAAGGAUGGGUGAUGGCAGGUGGCCGGUGGCGCUCCUUGUGGGUGUCGCCGGUUGUUAGCCGACCCGUCGCACGGCACGCGACCCGACCGAGGUAUCACGAGGCCCCUAUGGGCUUCUUCGCCUCCUCCUAAGGAAUCGGGUAGAAACGUGGCAGGAGAACGACCCUCCGCGGGCGCACGGACUGACUCCGUGGCCCAGCGCUGGGUUGUCUUCGUUGGCUGCGUAGGGCCCGAGGGAGGUCUGGCGGUUAGUGGCGA